CCUACGGGAGGCAGCAGUAGGGAAUCUUCCACAAUGGGCGCAAGCCUGAUGGAGCAACACCGCGUGAGUGAAGAAGGGUUUCGGCUCGUAAAGCUCUGUUGUUGGAGAAGAACGUGCGUGAGAGUAACUGUUCACGCAGUGACGGUAUCCAACCAGAAAGUCACGGCUAACUACGUGCCAGCAGCCGCGUUAAUACGUAGGUGGCAAGCGUUAUCCGGAUUUAUUGGGCGUAAAGCGAGCGCAGGCGGUUGCUUAGGUCUGAUGUGAAAGCCUUCGGCUUAACCGAAGAAGUGCAUCGGAAACCGGGCAACUUGAGUGCAGAAGAAGACAGUGGAAGUCCAUGUGUAGCGGUGGAAUGCGUAGAUAUAUGGAAGAACACCAGUGGCGAAGGCGGCUGUCUGGUCUGCAACUGACGCUGAGGCUCGAAAGCAUGGGUAGCGAACAGGAUUAGAUACCCUGGUAGUC
rnacentral:rRNA from 1 species